rnacentral:rRNA from 1 species
CGGGACGGGUGAGUAAUGUAUGGGGAUCUGCCUGAUGGCGGGGGAUAACUACUGGAAACGGUAGCUAAUACCGCAUAACGUCGCAAGACCAAGAGGGGGACCUUCGGGCCUCUUGCCAUCAGAUGAACCCAUAUGGGAUUAGCUUGUAGGUAAGGUAACGGCUUACCUAGGCGACGAUCCCUAGCUGGUCUGAGAGGAUGAUCAGCCACACUGGGACUGAGACACGGCCCAG